AGGAAGUGUGCUUGAGUCUGACACCUUCAGUUACUCACACAUUUUACACACAUGUAUCACUGAUUGAAAAUCACCGUCCUUUGGUUGAUUCCAUUUCACAAGCUUAGGGAGUUAUCACCAUGACGAUAAAGUCAGAGAUAACUAUUUACAGUUUCUGCCUUGACCUAGGAAGAACAAUGCCCUGACCUCAUAGUACCACUGCAUUCAACAACUCUACAUAAGGAAGGAAUACAAGGCUCGCCCGCUUUCUUCAGCAACAUUUGUGCGUAGUCAAGAGUACAAACAAGCCAAAUCUCAGAAUUCUGGAAACUGUUAACUUUGGGUAGGUUAAGACCAACCUUAUGAACUGUCUUCAGCUUCGCAGGUAGAGCAAGAGGAAGCAGCCUCCACACCUGGCAUUCACGAUUACAUACGUCCACUCACCUUUGAUAUUGGCCUUUGUCCACUGCACGGCUGUCUUGUGCACGCUUCACAGUUUACUUGUAUCUUGAAGUUCUUCAUGAUCAGUGAACAAUGCAAACAGUAUUGAGCAUUCUUCUGUACUGAGAGCUCCUGUCCACUGGAGUACAGAGAGCAGUUUCUGGGUCUUGAUUUAUAACCUCGGAAUCUCUAUAUUUCACCAGCCUGAAAAGUGCACUCAAACUAAGGUGUUUGUUUUAUGUUGCUGGCCUUUGCUACUUUGUGGGUCUGCCCCCCCCCUUUAUUCCUUCCCCCCUCCUUUCCCAAUUCCACCCCCUAUCACUAGACAGAAAAGGAAAGAUAGAGGAGGGAGAGAGACAGAGACCUCUGAAUCAUAUUUCUUUCCUUUUGUUCCUUGACCACAACUACGAACAAACCACCACUUCCCACCAACCCAGCCUCUCCAGGCUCUAGCAAUUGCAGAAAUUAUCUGCAGCUGGCAAAACCAAGCCUCUGCUAGAGCCCGAGGCAAAUCAUGGUCAGCUGCUGCAGACUGUCUGCAGCAGCCCCACAUCCCACACCUGGGUAAAGUGAAAGCACAUUCCUAUAAUGCUCCUGAUUUUUAAAGAACACAGAAUUCCAGAUUUCUCACUACAGUUUUCUGAGACAUGGUCUUCUGUAUGGGUUGGCUUGAUGAUGCUUAUAUUCUAAGGCUAACGUUGGGCCCCCAAGAGUGGUUACCCCAGAGACAAGAGUCUGCCCUUAGAUGCUAGCUAAGUGACUCUGUUCCCAAGUUAUUACUUCUCAUUCAUAAAGAUGCCAACAGCCAAUAGCUGGGCAGAAGAGACAUAGGUGGGGUUUAGGGCUGGGGGUCAGGAGAACCACGGAGAGAAGGGGCAGGAGGAGGAACAAGCUCCCAUGGGUUAGAUGAGCCAUGAAAACAUGGCCCCCGAGGGCUGGUGGAUUGCAGUUAGGAGCAGCCAUAUGAAACAAAGUAAAUAGUAUGCAAUAACUUGUUAUGCAUAGGAAAGUAGAUUCUAAUAGCAUGGAGGGUACAUAUUCACUCAGUGCUUGUGCUGCUUAAGGCUUUGUAAAUAUAAAGGGUGUGUGUGUGUGUGUGUGGGUUUGCGCGCGCGUGCAUGUUUAUCCAGGAACUAAACGAUCUAAGGCAGGGUAGAAACCCUGGGUCCGGAUUAAAUUAUUUCUGCAACAGUC
rnacentral:lncRNA from 1 species